rnacentral:lncRNA from 1 species
AAAAUUCUAUCCUAAACAUCGAGGGAAGAAAAGAAAACUCUUUAGUAUAACGCCUCGGUGCCGGAAAUUUUCUUCGAUUCAGUGCUGAGACUUUGGCUUCAGCAGCAUCGCCCGCAGCUCCGCCGGGUCCAUUUCCGCCGCACGGUUCGCCGGCCGGUAGAAGCCGGUGACCGGAUCCGGCACCCAAGAUGACGACGCCGCCGACUCCAGCCCUCCAUCUCUCUUCAUCGCCGCCGCCACCUUCUCCUCCACUACGGUUCUGCUCCCCCGCCCAGCUACCGCCGCCGCCGAAGCACUAGAAUAGCCCCUCCUGGAAUCAAACAGAUCAGGACCGUCAGAUCAAGGAACGAUCCAGGGAUAGACCGAUGGACAUCUACACAAAAAAACAAACAAGGACAGAUGGAACGGGAAGGCGUUGAGAUUCGCACCUGCUAGCGAGGAGGGCGAUGCCGUCGGAGAGAGCCACGAUGAGAGCACGAGCCAUUUGAUCUCGAUUGGAGAGCUGAGAUCUCCAAGCUCACGCUGCGAAGGGAAAGAA